rnacentral:miRNA from 1 species
ACUCCAAGAAGAAUCUAGACAG